rnacentral:lncRNA from 1 species
UUAAGUCCAAAAUGACCAGGCUUGGGUUUUGGGCCUAUUCGAAUCCAUAAUAUAACCCGUGUUCCUAUGUUCGUUAGGUUUUCGUCCUUUUCACUAACGCCGCGCGCUCUCUAUGUUACAAAGCUUUUCGUCUUCUUCCACAAAAAUCCAUUUAGUUUCAAAUCUCAGUUUUCUUCUUCGUCGUGGUGGUGUGUUCGUGAAGUUGAUUCGGCGUGGAAAUGAUGGGAAUAGUAAAAGGUUUGAGCAGGAAGAACAUGUGUUGAUUUGGUUUGGCGGUGACAGUGUUUGGAGUUAGGGCAAAGUGAAGAAGGCCCCUGUCCCUUGCCGAGCAAUUGCAUUGUGACACUCGCAACUUCUUCCACAUCAAUGGUGAUUUCAGGGGUUGUAUGAAAAAGGCGUGGGUUGCAUUCUAGUAUGGAAUCGCAACUUAGACUUCUCCCCACACUCUGUUCCCUCCCUACGACUCAAUCACUGUUCCGCCACCACUGCACUUCCUGCGUUGAUUACAACCUUCUCUCUGAUCCACGCCGACUAACAUUUCUUCUUUAUUUCAUCAAUUUCUAAAUCAUCUUUAUUCAUUAUUAUUAUUCACUAACCUAACUUCUCACAAUUAUUCCUGACUAUUGGUUGUUUCUGCAGAAUUUGCUUUUCGUUUACGUAAAUACUGACGUACAUUGUGUUAUUGUCAGAACUUGACGCUGGUGGUGAAUCGCAUAUUUGAUCUAUACCAGUAGGGCACGCACAUUAGGUUAAUCGUAAAUUUCACUUGCUGUUUACUUUUUCCUUGAUUCGAUUCGGAAGAGAAAAUUCGUUUAUUCCUUAUAUAAAUGUGUCCGCUGUUGAUAAUAUAAUUUUUUUAUUUAAUAAGCCAUGUAAUAGAAAUCAAAUGGCGAUAAUUUCCUCAGAUGUCAACAAAUUAAAUUUUAGCUUCAUAUAUGGGUUUAUUUUCUGUGUCACUGUAUGAAAAACAUAGAUGUAAUUUACGAUUAACUGGAUUUUAUAAGUGGUUAAUAUUUUAAGGAAUCUUAUAUUCCUAAGAGCAGGUUCCAUGUGUAAUUGCGUUUCUGGAUUCACUUUGAAAAUUACACAAAUGUACAAAUGCCAAAAUGCGUAUGCAUUUAUGAGUUAAAGUUGUUGAUAUUGUAGGCAACAUCAAUUAAAUGGAUUAAAUUGACAUUGAGUUGAAGAGAAAGUAGGGUACAAUUGUAUUUAACAUACUAUACUAUGACGGUAUUUUCAUUUCAGUCAUCUCUUACUCUCUUCAACUCUUGGAAGAUCACUCAACUUUCUUUUUUCCUGCUCUCUUAUCCUCAUCCUAUUUCUGUUAUAAUUUCGCUUGAGCUAAAGUUUCUUGCUUAGGUGAAAAUAAAAAUUCGUCAUUAUGAUUUGUUUGCUUUUAAACACUUAUUUGUCCGAGUGAGGAAUAACGAAAAUUUUACUAAAAUUAAUAAAUAAAAACUAAUAAAAUGUAUAAAAUAAAGCACAUUGAUUUGCGUGUUUUAUCUUUGUAAGGUAACUACGAUUUGCG